rnacentral:sRNA from 1 species
GCUGGGUGUAGUGGCGGGCACUUGUAAUCCCAGCUACUCGGGAGGCUGAGGCAGGAGAAUCACUUGAACCCGGGAGGCGGAGGUUGCAGUGAGCUGAGAUUGGGCCACUGCACUCCAGCCCGGGUGACAGAGUGAGAUUCUGUCUAAA